GGGGGGAGGGUGGGGGAAUCAACAGAUCUUCUGGGUCAGAAAAAAGGAUUACCGGCUGAAUUGGCAAUGGCUCCCUGCGAUGGAGUCUGACCUCAAACGAAGGGGACAGGUUUGUUCCUGACAGUCCGAAGGUAACCAGUUUUGUCAUUCAUCGCCAUUCCUACCUUGGCAACGUUGACUGCAGACCCAUAACCAGUAGAAAAACCACAGCCAAUGAGACAGACUUUCUCCAGUGGUGAGGCUGCAUCGAUCUUGGCCACUGAAAACUCAUCCACCACCGUAUACUGGGAGAAGGUGCUGAUGCCAAGGAAAUGGUAGAUGGGCUUCCCUCUGCAGGCCAGGAGACUGGUGACUUCUAUAGACUGUUUUCUGCUUGAGUACAUAAAGCUGAUAUCUUACACAGAGAAAUCUCUCCUGGAGUCUUCAGCUUGCUCCAGAACGGCCUAGGUGUGCUCUGUAUCUGGGGCAAUCUGCUGUAUUGGACUCCUGUGGCUGCUGUAACAAAUUAUCACAAACUGGGUGGCUUCAAACUAUGGAGGUUUAUUUUCCCCCAGUUCUGGAGGCUAAAAAUCCAAAGUCAGUAUCACUGGGCUGCAGUCAAGGAUCAGAAGAAGGUCUAAGAGAAGAGUCCAGUCCUUGCUUUUUCCAGUUUCUGAUGGCUGCCACAUUCCCUGGCUUGUGGCCCCAAACUCCAAUGUUUUCCUUUCCUGCUCCUUUCUUCCUCUUCCCCCACACUGUCUUGGGGAACUUGUAGCCUGUCCUGUCUCCCCAGUGGUCUGAAAUUUUACACUGAUCUGUUUUGAGUGGGUGUAUUUUUAUCCAUUUUACUGGCAGUGACUUUAAAAAAAAUGAAGAUUAACUUUUCAGUUCUAGCAAAUUUACUUAAACUGUUUUAUUAAUACUCUUCCUUCCUUACCCAUCCCAUUCUGCCUUCUCUGUUCUUUCACUUAUUCUGGAACUCUUACUACUCAGAUACUGAAUGUUUUGAUAUUCCACUCUCAUUUUCUUGCUCAGCCUCCUUUUCCUCUUUUCCAUCUCUGUGUUUGUGCUCUGUCCAGUUUCCAAAUCUCCUCUGAACAUGAAGGCACAGGUGGCAUAGUCACGGGUUUGCAGAGCAUUACACAGCCCCACUAGGGAUUGGGAGUACUAAGUGCUCAACCUGCCCAUUGAGAACUGGCACUUCAUCUUUUGUUCCAGGGGUGGGGCAAGAGAUGCACUGGAAUCGAAGCCUGCAGUGGUGAGCAAUAGUGCCCCAGCUCAGAGUGCCCUGCUGGCUCCCAGUGAUAAAAAAUUUGAUUUCUAAGAAUAAGAGCUUCUACUUUUGCUAGUUUUCCCCAAAUUGUCACCUGUGAAGUUACACAUCUUAUAUUCAUGGAAAUGGGAACCCUGAUUUUUUGCCUACCAUGCUUAUUAGUCUCCUGAGAAAUUGUGAAUGAUAUUUAUAUGAUAAUUGAUAAGUUCAUGGUCCAGUUCAGACCUGUGCCACAGUUAUAGCAGAUAAUAACACAUCUCAGUUUGCCAGAGACAAUGACUAUUGUCCCAGAGUGAUUAUUAAUAGCUUACCACUUGCUUUAAAAAGUGUGCUAGAAAAAAAAAAGUGUGCUAGAUCCGAUGGUUAGUUAUGGGAUCACCCUAUUUAUAUUUGCUUGUGAGCCAUAGUAGUGGCUGAUGGAUACCUUGGAUAAGACCUGGAUUUAGUCAGCUUCAAAAGGCUUCCUUGGAAUAAAGCAAACUUCAGAGUUUCAAGAGUUAGAACUUGUUAAUUGUUUAACCAGUAGUUCUGAUGGUUGUGACCUGUGUCAGUAAUAUUGUAAUAAUUCGUUGUAAAGAGUGGCACAGAAUAUCACUUAGCUAAUUUACCAUUUUGUGAAUAAUAUAAACUGGUCUAAGAUUAGGAAGAGCAGAGGCUAAUGUGAGUUUUUAAAUUUGAGAGGCUUGUGAGAAAAUUACUCUCAGAAGCUGAAUUAGAAUGAAUCAAAGUCUAUAUUCAAUAACUACAUAAUAUUUAAAUGUUUAAUUUUGUUAGAAAAUGAUUAUUACAAAAACUUGAGUAGUACCUGAAAGAUUUGAAGGUGGUGAUUAUGUUGAUGUCGCCAAAUUUUGUUUGUAUAAAACUUGUAAUAACCUGGAAAUGGGCCAUUGCAUAAGAACAAAUAGAAUUACUGGAAUGGGAAAGUGAAAAGUGCAAUGGUUAUGCUAUAUCUUUAAUAAAAUUGGUAU